rnacentral:sRNA from 1 species
GCUCAUCGGGAGAUGUCUCUAGGACUCCACCGUCGAAUCGAUAUCCAGGGAGUUUCAGACUUGACCAAAAAAGCAAAUCUGUGCCAGGGCUGAGUUCAGGAAGAUGCAACCCUAGCGUUGGGACUGUAGCUGCAGACCAGCGAUGCGCAAGAUGACUGGCAGCGGGGGAAUUUGAGGGUCGUAGGUCUUGGAAAAAGCAACCACUGUGCAGUGCGCCGGAAUCUGAUGUUUGGACAAGGACGAGAUUGAGGCGAAAGGGACAAGCAGAGGACGAGGGCAAUGCAACGAGUUGAUAGGAGGAGAGACGGGCAAACCUACGCCGCCAGCUAGGCUUGGAUAUCAGGAUGCUGUCCUCUGUAUGGCGAUGGGCUUCCCCUUUGGGCCCCACAGACGCUCAAUAAUUAUUUACCUCCUCCCAAUUGCCACACGGUUUUCCCACACACUUCCCGGGAC